AACGCUGGCGGCGUGCUUAACACAUGCAAGUCGUACGAGAACUCUUCUGCUUGCAGAAGAUAGUAAAGUGGCGCACGGGUGAGUAACGCGUGGGUAAUCUACCUCUGAAUCGGGGAUAACCCGCCGAAAGGCGAGCUAAUACCGGAUAAUAUCUUUAAACUUCGGUUUUUAAGAUCAAAGGUGGUCUCUACAUGUAAGCUACUGUUUGGAGAUGAGCCCGCGUACCAUUAGCUUGUUGGUAGGGUAAUGGCCUACCAAGGCGCGAUGGUUAGCUGGUCUGAGAGGAUGAUCAGCCACACUGGAACUGACACACGGUCCAGACUCCUACGGGAGGCAGCAGUGAGGAAUUUUGCGCAAUGGGGGAAACCCUGACGCAGCAACGCCGCGUGAGUGAUGAAGGCUUUCGGGUCGUAAAGCUCUGUCAAGUGGGAAGAAAAUGCUAGAUGUUAAU
rnacentral:rRNA from 1 species